rnacentral:misc_RNA from 1 species
AACUAGUCCUCAAAACGUGAAUGUUGCACUUGGAGUGGACAGCCAAUGGGUCAAUGGGGGGCAAGUUGAAAUUACCGAUGACAGAUGGCAUGAAAUUGGUGGUUCCUUCAGAAUUGAGAAGCAACCAUCUAAGGUCAUGGUUUAUGUCCAGGGUCCAGCCCCAGGUGUUGACUUAAUGGUUGCUGGACUUCAAAUUUUCCCUGUUGACAGAGAGGCACGAUUCAAACAUUUGAGGAGGCAGACUGACAAGAUCCG